AGUGGACGCUGGCGGUAGGCCUAACACAUGCAAGUCGAACGGCAGCACAGUAAGAGCUUGCCCUUACGGGUGGCGAGUGGCGGACGGGUGAGGAAUACAUCGGAAUCUACUUUUUCGUGGGGGAUAACGUAGGGAAACUUACGCUAAUACCGCAUACGACCUACGGGUGAAAGCAGGGGAUCUUCGGACCUUGCGCGAUUGAAUGAGCCGAUGUCGGAUUAGCUAGUUGGCGGGGUAAAGGCCCACCAAGGCGACGAUCCGUAGCCGGUCUGAGAGGAUGAUCAGCCACACUGGAACUGAGACACGGUCCAGACUCCUACGGGAGGCAGCAGUGGGGAAUAUUGGACAAUGGGCGCAAGCCUGAUCCAGCCAUACCGCGUGGGUGAAGAAGGCCUUCGGGUUGUAAAGCCCUUUUGUUGGGAAAGAAAAGCAGCAGGUUAAUACCCCGCUGUUCUGACGGUACCCAAAGAAUAAGCACCGGCUAACUUCGUG
rnacentral:rRNA from 1 species